UUUUUUUUUUUUUUUUAAUUUUGCGUUGUCGUCGCGUGCAUCGGUCCAUUUUUGGAAGUAGUGUGAGAACGAACAGAUGCUUAAAGGGAGAACAAAAAAAAAAAAAGUGGAUUA
rnacentral:ribozyme from 12 species